AGUGAACGCUGGCGGCAGGCCUAACACAUGCAAGUCGAACGGCAGCACAGGAGAGCUUGCUCUCUGGGUGGCGAGUGGCGGACGGGUGAGGAAUAUAUCGGAAUCUACCCUUUCGUGGGGGAUAACGUAGGGAAACUUACGCUAAUACCGCAUACGAACUGAGGUUGAAAGCGGCGGACCGCAAGGCGUCGCGCGGAUGGAUGAGCCGAUAUCCGAUUAGCUAGUUGGCGGGGUAAAAGCCCACCAAGGCGACGAUCGGUAGCUGGUCUGAGAGGAUGAUCAGCCACACUGGAACUAAGACACGGUCCAGACUCCUACGGGAGGCAGCAGUGGGGAAUUUUGGACAAUGGGGGCAACCCUGAUCCAGCAAUGCCGCGUGAGUGAAGAAGGCCUUCGGGUUGUAAAGCUCUUUUGUCAGGGAAGAAACAGCAGCUCUAACACAGUCUGCGAAUGACGGUACCUGAAGAAUAAGCACCGGCUAACUACGUGCCAGCAGCCGCGGUAA
rnacentral:rRNA from 1 species